rnacentral:rRNA from 1 species
AGGGCGCAUGGGGAAUGCCUUGGUCAUAGGAGCCGAUGAAGGACGCAGUACGCCUGCGAUAGUCGCCGGGUAGGAGCAAACAUCCUUAGAUCCGGCGGUUUCCGAAUGGGGAAACCCGGCAUGCUUAAUAGCGUGUCACCGUAUACUGAAUACAUAGGUAUACGGGGGGAACGCAGUGAACUGAAACAUCUUAGUAACUGCAGGAAGAGAAAGUAAUAACGAUUUCCUGAGUAGUGGCGAGCGAAACGGAAACAGCCCAAACUUUAUACGUGUAAGCGGUAGUGCGUUGCGUAUAGAGGGUUGUAGGACGGUCAGCGAAUGACUACACAUUCAAGUUGUAUUGGAUAGAGUCUAAUGGAAUAGUCUGGAAAGACUAGCAAUAUAGGGUGAUAGCCCCGUACAUGAAAGACCUCACCAGCAACGACCGCACCUGAGUACCACGGAAUAGGCAACUCUGUGGGAAGCUAGGGGAACCAUCCCCUGAGGCUAAAUACUCCAUGAACCGAUAGUGAACAAAGUACCGUGAGGGAAAGGUGAAAAGAACCCCGGAAGGGGAGUGAAAUAGAAUCUGAAACCAUGACGCCUACAACCAGUCAGAGCACGAUAGCGAAAGCUCGUGUCAUGACGUGCCUAUUGAAGAAUGAGCCGGGGAGUUGUUUGUAAGAAGCAAGGUUAAGAGGAGACCCUCGAAGCCGUAGCGAAAGCGAGUCUGAACAGGGCGAUAGUUUCUACAUACAGACCCGAAACCGGGUGAUCUACCCAUGGUCAGGAUGAAGCGGAAUUAAGCCUCCGUGAAGGUCCGAACACGUUAAGGGUGAAAACUUAUGUGAUGAACUGUGGGUAGCGGAGAAAUUCCAAUCGAACCCGGAGAUAGCUGGUUCUCUCCGAAAUGCAUUUAGGUGCAGCUUCGGAUGAUCCCCACUGGAGGUAGAGCACUGAAAAGGCUAGGAGCCCCACCAGGUUACCAACCCUUAUCAAACUCCGAAUGCCAGUGGAUUACAGUCCGAAAGUGAGACAGCGAGUAAUAAGAUCCGUUGUCAAAAGGGAAACAGCCCAGACCGCCUGCUAAGGUCCCCAAUAAUUGCUAAGUGUAAAUCAAGGAAGUAUGGAUUACGAAUACAGCCAGGAUGUUGGCUCAGAAGCAGCCAUCAUUUAAAGAGUGCGUAAUAGCUCACUGGUCUAGUGAUCAUGCGCCGUAAAUGUUCGGGACUAAGCAAUUAACCGAAGCAGCGGAUAUGUCCGCAAGGAUAUGUGGUAGGAGAGCGUUCUUGCAGCAGUGAAGGUAUACCGUAAGGAGUGCUGGAGCGGCAAGAAGUGAGAAUCCCGGCUUAAGUAGCGAAAAGCAGAGUGAGAAUCUCUGCCACCGUAAGUCUAAGGUUUCCUGGGGAAGGCUUGUCCUCCCAGGGUUAGUCGGUCCUAAGUCGAGGCCGAAAGGCGUAGAUAAUGGCCAACAGGUUAAUAUUCCUGUACCGUGAUGAGCGUUAUGAGCGAUGGAGUGACGGAGAAGGAUAGGUGAUCCGGGUGAUGGAAUACCCGGUCCAAGCGUUGAGGGCGAAGUGCAGGCAAAUCCACACUUCACAUGCCUGGGGCGUUAUGGGGAGCCGCAAGGCGAAGUCAUUGAUUUCAUACUUCCGAGAAAAACUUCUAGCCAGUUAAAUCACGUCCGUACCGCAAACCAACACAGGUAGACAGGGAGAAAGACUCCUAAGGUGUACGAAAUAACUCUCGCUAAGGAACUCGGCAAAAAGGCCCCGUAACUUCGGGAGAAGGGGUGCCUAACCACUCGCAAGAGUGUCGUAGGUUGCAAGAAAUAGGCUCAGAGGACUGUUUACCAAAAACACAGGUUUCUGCUAAGUCGUAAGACGCAGUAUAGGAGCCGACGCUUGCCCAGUGCUGGAAGGUUACGAGGAGGGGUUAGGACUUGUUCCGAAGCUCUGAAUCUAAGCCCCAGUGAACGGCGGCCGUAACUAUAACGGUCCUAAGGUAGCGAAAUACCUUGUCGGGUAAGUUCCGACGCGCAUGAAAAGCGUAACCAUCUGAGCGCUGUCUCGGCGAGAGAUUCGGUGAAAUAGCAGUACCGGUAAAGAUGCCGGUUACUUGCAGCAGGACGGAAAGACCCCGUAGAGCUUUACUACAACUUGCCAUUGGGCAUUUGUACUUUAUGUACAGGAUAGGUGGGAGACUUUGAUACUGGAUCGUCAGGUUCAGUGGAGUCGCACUUGGGAUACCACCCUUAAAUUAUGAAUGUUCUAACGACAACCCUUGAAUCAGGGUGUCGGACAGUGUCAGGCGGGUAGUUUGACUGGGGCGGUCGCCUCCCAAAAUGUAACGGAGGCGUACAAAGGUUCUCUCAGCGUGUUUGGAAAUCACGCAUUGAGUAUAAAGGUAUAAGAGAGCUUAACUGCAAAGACAGACAUGUCAGACAGAAACGAAAGUUGGUCUUAGUGACCCGAUAACACCGUAUGGAAGGGUUAUCGCUUAACGGAUAAAAGCUACCUCGGGGAUAACAGGCUUAUCCUUCCCAAGAGUUCACAUCGACGGGAGGGCUUGGCACCUCGAUGUCGGCUCGUCACAUCCUGGAGCUGAAGCAGGUUCCAAGGGUUAGGCUGUUCGCCUAUUAAAGUGGCACGCGAGCUGGGUUCAGAACGUCGUGAGACAGUUCGGUCCUUAUCCGCUGCAAGCGUUGGAUAUUUGAGUGGGUUCACCCCUAGUAUGAGAAGAUCGGGGUGCGGAGACCUCCAGUGUACCAGUUAUCACGCCCGUGGUAUGUGCUGGGUAGCUGUGUCUCAAAAGAUAAGUGCUGAAAGCAUCUAAGCACGAAGCUUCCCUCAAGAUAAGAUAUCCCAUCUCUAAAAGAGAGUAAGAGCACUGGAAGACUACCAGUUUGAUAGGAUGGAGCUGUAAGAGCUGAGAGGCUUGU